GAUGAACGCUAGCUACAGGCUUAACACAUGCAAGUCGAGGGGAAACGAUAGAGAAAGCUUGCUUUUUCUAGGCGUCGACCGGCGCACGGGUGAGUAACGCGUAUCCAACCUGCCCAUCACUUGGGGAUAACCUUGCGAAAGUAAGACUAAUACCCAAUGACGUCCAUAGAAGACAUCUGAAAGGGAUUAAAGAUUUAUCGGUGAUGGAUGGGGAUGCGUCUGAUUAGCUUGUUGGCGGGGUAACGGCCCACCAAGGCGACGAUCAGUAGGGGUUCUGAGAGGAAGGUCCCCCACAUUGGAACUGAGACACGGUCCAGACUCGUACGGGAGUCAGCAGUGAGGAAUAUUGGUCAAUGGGCGAGAGCCUGAACCAGCCAAGUAGCGUGCAGGAUGACGGCCCUAUGGGUUGUAAACUGCUUUUAUAAGGGAAUAAAGUGAGCCUCGUGAGGCUUUUUGCAUGUACCUUAUGAAUAAGGACCGGCUAAUUCCGUGCCAGCCGCCGCCGUAA
rnacentral:rRNA from 1 species